AUUGAACGCUGGCGGCAUGCUUUACACAUGCAAGUCGAACGGUAACAGGCCGCAAGGUGCUGACGAGUGGCGAACGGGUGAGUAAUGCAUCGGAACGUGCCCAGUCGUGGGGGAUAACUACUCGAAAGAGUAGCUAAUACCGCAUACGAUCUAUGGAUGAAAGCGGGGGACCGUAAGGCCUCGCGCGAUUGGAGCGGCCGAUGUCAGAUUAGGUAGUUGGUGGGGUAAAGGCACACCAAGCCAACGAUCUGUAGCUGGUCUGAGAGGACGACCAGCCACACUGGGACUGAGACACGGCCCAGACUCCUACGGGAGGCAGCAGUGGGGAAUUUUGGACAAUGGGCGCAAGCCUGAUCCAGCAAUGCCGCGUGCAGGAAGAAGGCCUUCGGGUUGUAAACUGCUUUUGUACGGAACGAAACGGCUCUGGUUAAUACCCGGGGCUAAUGACGGUACCGUAAGAAUAAGCACCGGCUAACUACGUG
rnacentral:rRNA from 1 species